rnacentral:tRNA from 1 species
UGCCCUAUGGUGUAAUGGCAACACUACAGGUUUUGGUUCUGUCAUUAGUGGUUCGAAUCCGCUUGGGGCAACAA